AUUGAACGCUGGCGGGAGGCCUAACACAUGCAAGUCGAGCGAGCGGCGGACGGGUGAGUAAUGUCUGGGAAACUGCCUGAUGGAGGGGGAUAACUACUGGAAACGGUAGCUAAUACCGCAUACCAUCAGAGGUGCCCAGAUGGGAUUAGCUAGUGGGCGGGGUAAUGGCGCACCAAGGCGACGAUCCCUAGCUGGUCUGAGAGGAUGACCAGCCACACUGGCACUGAGACACGGUCCAGACUCCUACGGGAGGCAGCAGUGGGGAAUCUUCGGCAAUGGGCGAAAGCCUGAUAGAGCAAUGCCGCGUGUAUGAUGAAGGUCUUCGGGUCGUAAAGCUCUGUUAUUAGGGAAGCGGUACCUGAUCAAAAAGCCACGGCUAACUACGUGCCAGCAGCCGCGGUAAUAC
rnacentral:rRNA from 1 species